UAAUAGUUUGGGGUGUAUGCGGUACAUAUUUGUUUAUGAGCGUUUGAUAAGCUACUAUUAAUCUACGAAAUACAACGAAAGAUUUCGUCAAGAACAGAAGAAGACGAUGUUGUCGUGUAACUCACACAAGGCCCAGCUGUCUAGUAACCGGAGGGGGAAAGGAAAAGAACGUAUUAGACUCAGUGACACCUGUCAAACAGAUUGAUGUCAGAAGUCUGAAUGCAAACAAGCUCCCAUAUGACUACAAUGUAUAAGGGAAAUUAGAUAUAUGUACAAUAAAUAUGGUAUAUGGGAACUGGAUAAUUUCCCAUGCCUUUCACUUGAGGUCUUCAGUUUCAUCAUUAAUCAUGUGAAUGUCUGUAUGCCAAACUCUCAUGAUGUCAUGUCAUUACUGGACAUUCCUUAACACUGGUUUAUUUCAGCCACACUACCUAUAACAUUGCCAAAAUAUUAGACUGAAAAUUUUCAAAUACACAAUAUUUGAAGCAGCAAAAGAAACGAAUUAGAUAUGUAUAACACACAAAAAAGAAGAAAUUAAUUCUCACCUGGCCGAAAUAAACUUUUUACUCCUUUUUAGCUCCCUUUCACUGCAUACCAGCCGAUAACUAGCAGUCAUUAUAUGCAGAUCAGUCAUUGCUAUCAACCUGUGUAUAUAUGCAAUGUGAAGAUAACGAACAGUGAUCAAUCUCAUAACUCCUACAAGCAAUACAAAAUAGAUGGUUGGGCAAACACGGACCCUGGACACACCAGAGGUGGGAUCAGGUGCCUAGGAGGAGUAAGCAUCCCCUGUUGACCGGUCACACCCGCCGUGAGCCCUAUAUCCUGAUCAGGUAAACAGAGUUAUCCGCAGUCAAAAUCAGUGUGCCAAGAACAGCUUAACAAUCGGUAUGAAACACGUCAGACAGCAUUUGACCCAAUGCGAGGUUGUAUUGACGAACUAGAUCGUUAUAACGACCAUAGAAUUUGCGAAAUGCUGACUUCAAUCGAGACUGUUGAAAUCCCUGUACCAUCAACUUGUUUGUCAGUAGCUUACCUCGAUUUAAAAACUGACUAUACCCAGAACAAGCUCUUGCAUAUGUAAUCAGCUGAGAUAUAUAAACACCAUAUGCAAGUGAUAAUGGAAUAUUGCUACACAAAUAUGGGAAGUUGACGAUGGAGAAGCUGAAAUCAUCCCGUUUGUCAUACAAUUGAGUUGUCAGUUUGCCGUUAAU